rnacentral:misc_RNA from 1 species
GAAAAGGCUAAAGAGAGGAGAAGCUAUGGCUACUCUUAGAAAUCCAAGAAAAUACCAAUCUUUGAUCAUUCUUUUUCAGUUCUUUCUGUUAAUACAAAUCCAAUUAGUGUUCUGUUAUCAAUACAAAGUUGGAGAUUUAAAUGCUUGGAAUAUACCCUCUUCUGCAAAUAAAGAUGUCUAUCUCAAAUGGUCCAAGAAUCACAUCUUCAAGCUUGGAGAUUCAAUCUUGUUUUUGUACCCACCAAGUGAAGAUUCAGUAAUACAGGUAACAAAACAGAAUUACAACAGUUGCAACCUUAAAAAUCCAAUCUUGUACAUGAACAAUGGGAAUUCUCUGUUUAACAUUACAAGACCUGGAGAGUUUUACUUCACAAGUGGAGCAGAAGGGCAUUGUGAGAAGUUGCAGAAACUUCAUAUUUCAAUUGGAGGAGGAAAUGGAACAAGUUAUGAUGAAGCAGAUUCACCUGCUUUUGCUCCAUCACCUUCUUACACUAAUGUUUUUGGUUCAAUUCCUGUCCAAUCUUCUAAUUCAACCUCUGCUUCGUCUUCUGGGAAAGUUGAAAUCUCUGUUUUUGCUGCUGUUGGAUUGCUCUUUCUUACUCUGUUUAUAGGAAGCACUAUUCUUUAGAAAACGGGACAGGGCAUUUUGGAUUUUGGGUUUUGGAGAUUCCACUCAUAUUUUUUUGUGUAUUGAGGCGUUAUUUAUUUUUACUUUUCAUGUUGUUAAAUUUGUGAAAGAGUUCAUUCAUUAUGA